AUUUGAGGAAGAAGAAUUGAAGGUUGAGGAUUCAAUUUCAGAAAAAUACAUGAGCGUUGGUGGCUGAGCGUGACGAUAGAUGACAGGACGCAUCGUUGAUAUCCACGUGAGAGUCGGUGUAUAAAUGAAAAAGGAGAUAAUGAAAAAUAAAUUAGGGUCUGAAUCUCCAAAAUGUAUUUGGGUUUCCAAUCUCCACAAUGAGAAAUGAGAAACCGAAAGUGCAUGACCUUUUUGUCUUGAUUUUCAAUUGAAUCUUGAAUUUUUUGUUGUGAAUUAUGAUUCACUAAUUGUCAAGUAAAUAUAUAUAAUAAAAUUUUAAAGUUGAAUUUCGUUCUUUGUUUGGUUCUUGGUUUUAGUACUAGAACCGAGCCAGAAGUAGAACCAUUAAUUUUUUAUUUUUAUUAUUAUUAUUUUUAUUUUUUAAUUUUUUGUUUGCAGAAAUGUUCAGUUUGCUUUGAUCUGGUUUGGUUUUGUUAGAAAUUCUUUUGGUCCCACAUUAGCGCGAAAAUUCAUCCAUUUUCAAUCAUUAGAUUUGGAGCUAAUCCAAAAGCAGGGAAUUAUUACAAAAAGGGUAAAAUAUGAAAAAAUUGUAAUGACUUCUCUUCAGCUAUCGAAAUCCAGCCCGUCGAUUUGUGCGAGAAAUUGAGCUGUUUCUGCUCGAAAUUCAUCGCCAAGGCAUCUGUGAAAAGGAAUAUCAGGCUUCAAAGUUUCAGAAUUGUACUUAAUAAUGGGAGGUUAUCGGUUUCCUUCAAAAUACGAGAAACAUAAAAUUGAAGUAACGGUAAGUUGGAAUGCAGAUUUACUUUAUUAAUUAUUAUAUUUUAAUGGUUAAAUUAGUAGGUUGAAACUCUUCUCUUCUUACGACGUUCUGAGUCGAGCUCUGUAACACUAUAAUUGGCGUUAAAUCUAACAGCCCAAUCUUGGAACUUAUUAUAGUCUAUUUUGUAGUUAAUUAUAUUGCCGGUUGAGACUCUAUUGAUCUUGUCCAUGAAAUGGGAAAGGAACACCGUAAUUGCAUAGUUGUUCUGUGCAGAUCCUCAACUAUAUUCGUCUAAUUCAGUUUACCUUGCGCACGAAACCAAAAUUUUGCCAUCAAGGAAUUGUGAUAUGUUUUUCUUAUAUUCUAAUGAUUUUUUCAACUUCCAGCUGCAUCUGAGUUUUAAGUUAAUUGCUCAAGUGAACUCUUUGCAUAAUGUAAGUUCAUUCAAGAUUUUCUCGAUUUCCAGCCGGACUAACUGCAUCUUAGUUUUAUGUAAAUUGCUUCGAGCUAACGUGACUAAUCAAAUUGGUCUACAAAUCAAAUUAAUGUGUCAAAGUGCCCUAAUAUAUUAUUUCAGGUGAAGAACCUGCUGAGUCUUUGUUUAUGAAGGAACUAAGGAGACGAAGGAUGACCCCUGCUUUGUUGCUUUAGAAGAAAAACGGGAACAUUUAGGGAGAGAGAUGUGAAAAUUUAGAGAAGAAGACGGGGGUUGAGGUUCCUCGAGAAGAAAUGGAGUAAUGACUGAUUAUGAAAGGGAUCUAUCUAAUCAAAGGGAAACAUCUGUGGCACUGAAUAGUGCAGGCCUUGAGGGUGCUAAGGUCAGCUAGUAUCACAUGAGAGUGGACAACUAUGUUACAACAGUAGUACCAGAUCCACAAGUUUUUACUAAUAUGUUUUAAGUUAGGCAAGAAAACACAGAGAUCAAGUGAAAAACCCGGGCUCGAAGUCUUAUUAGCACUCAUUUGAUUCACGGGACAAUAUAAGUACUGGUUUUGUUUACUUCUAAAAUUGUUUCCAUGUAAACUUGUGCUUAAUGUCAAUGUUUGAUUUCACGGGCUAAAAUUUUACUUACCCUUGGAAGAACUUUCUUUCUGGGGUUUUGGCCAUUGAUUCCUGUAACCAUUGCAUUCUUUUCUGCCCUGUAUCUGGCGAUCUCAUUUACUCGAUUUUUAAUGUUGCUAUGUCUUAUUUUUUUUAUGUCUGAAUGUCAUUCUCAAAAGAAACUGUGGUUUCUCAGUCUUUUUAA